GAUGAAGUGUUUUCCACUCGAAACUUUUGGCUUGAAAUUUCAAAAUUAAUUCAGCGAAAGGGGCUAGGCUUUUGAAGAAAAGGCGCAGGUCUCACAUAGGUAAAUCCUGUGAAAGUACAGUCGCCCGCGCCUGGACUGGCGACAGGAGAAUCCAGCAACGACAUCUUGGUCCAGCACUCAUCAAAGUUGGCAAUGCAGUUCUGGCCAGAAACGUUAGGCUUGAAGCUUGGCUGAAUUUCCCGAGCUUCCAGUUUCCUCCAAUUGAUCGAUUUGAACCAUUUGUGACUCUUUAUCUCAUUACUACCACCGGGUCCGCUACCAAGGCGCCUGCUUGCUUCCUUCUGCAACAACCCUUUCAAUAGAGAAUGGGCUUCACUGGACAAAUACGAUGGGAGCUUUAUCUUGUCUUUCACUAUCUUUUGCUGAAUUUUCCCUCGAUUUCCACUGACAAAAGGCGGCUUCCCAGUAAGCAUUUCAAAUAGAAGGAUACCAACACUCCACCAGUCCGCAGCCUUAUCAUGGCCUUUUCCAAGAACAAUUUCUGGUGCCAUGUAUUCCACCGUACCACACAUAGAAUUAGAUCUAGUAUUCUCCUCUUCAAAUUCCUUUGCAAGACCAAAAUCAGUCAACAUGGCAUGG
rnacentral:misc_RNA from 1 species